GACGAACCGUGCGAACGUUAUUCGGAAUCACUGGGCUUAAAGGGCGCGUAGGCGGAUUCUCAAGUCAGGGGUGAAAUCCCACGGCUCAACCGUGGAAGUGCCUUUGAUACUGGGAAUCUCGAGGGAGGUAGGGGCGUGCGGAACUUCGGGUGGAGCGGUGAAAUGCGUAGAUAUCCGAAGGAACACCGGUGGCGAAAGCGGCGCGCUGGACCUCUUCUGACGCUGAGGCGCGAAAGCCAGGGGAGCAAACGGG
rnacentral:rRNA from 1 species